UACGGAGGGGGCUAGCGUUGUUCGGAAUUACUGGGCGUAAAGCGCGCGUAGGCGGCUUUGUAAGUUAGAGGUGAAAGCCCGGAGCUUGACUCCGGAACUGCCUUUAAGACUGCAUCGCUAGAAUCGUGGAGAGGUGAGUGGAAUUCCGAGUGUAGAGGUGAAAUUCGUAGAUAUUCGGAAGAACACCAGUGGCGAAGGCGACUCACUGGACACGUAUUGACGCUGAGGUGCGAAAGCGUGGGGAGCAAACAGG
rnacentral:rRNA from 1 species